ensembl:lincRNA Gm26719 predicted gene, 26719
GUGUUGUUUUGUUUUUUAAUGCAGAUAUACAGUUUCCCCAACACCUUUUGUUGAAAUAGUUCUUUUCCUUUACAAUAAAAGUCUGAGCUUUUGUUGCAAGUCUUCUGAUCAUCUUUAUGGGAGUUUAUGUGUUCUGUGAUCGAGCUGAUGAUCUGUGUCUCUUUAGGAAUUAUGGUUUUAUAGUUAUCAGAAAUCAGGAAUCUGAGACCUCUGUGUUUUGUAUGGCUUUUUUUCUUCUUCCCAAUUUCCAGAUUGUAUUGGCUAUUUAAGGCUCUUUGAGAUUCUAUACACAUUUAGGCUAGAUUUUCCUGUUUCUGCACAAAAGGCCACUAUGGUGCUGAUGAUAGGAUCAGCAGAUCACCUUAAUAUUACAGACUUUUAAAAAAUAAGCAUUAAGCCUUUUACACAAUAAACAUGGGAUGGACGGGUUUACUUUGGCUUUCCGUUUAAGGGUACAGCCUAUGGGGUAGCAGCAGGUGUGUAAGGUCACAGCUCCCAUGGCACCCACAGUAAGGAAAUAGAAAGAGAUAAAUGCUCGUGUCCAGCUGCCUUUCUUCUUGCCAUUCAGGAUGGAGGCCCAGCUGGGAGACAGUGACACCACAUUCAGAGUGGAUCUUCCUUACUUAAUAAACAUCCUCACAGAACUCCAGUCAGGUUAAUGCUAAGGACGAGCCAUCUCAUCACAACUAGGGGUGAUGAUCUUGUACUGAAGUUUAGUGCUAAAAUGAGGUUCCACCUUCAGGGAAUCUCAGUUCUUGUAGAGAAGCAAAUGUGUGAAGACAUAGAUGGUUCCUGCAAGCUUUGGCGAUGGGUAGCCAGGGAGACACUGAAUGGACAUUCAAAUGUAUUUCCAGAGAUACCUCCAACUGGACAUUCACUGAGUUUGUGAACUUCUUUUAUAAAAAUACAAAUACAGCUAAGAGACCCUGUGGAUUGCUGUCCGUGUGCAAACUAGGUCUGGUGAAAUCUUAAUUAGUCAGAUAAGGCUAGAGCCUAUGAUUGGGCAGUGGGAAGGAAGAUGGAGCUGAAAGUUUUAGGGAAGAGAAAGAGAGAGAGAUAGACAGACAGACAGGGAGAAGACGGAAGAAGAAGAUGACCCAGAUCCACAUGGCCUGAAAUAGCCACAGGUAGCUAUGGUUAUCAUAGAAGGGCAAUAAUGUAGGCCAAUUUGUCCAACCUACGUGUGCAGCCUGUAUCAAUAUCAAAUUGAGUUUUGAGUACUUUGUGUGGGCAUUUUGGGGUUGAGGAUCUACUGUUACAAAUCUGACUGGUAAAUUACAAGCCUCAGGAGUUUUCAUUAUAUGAGGCUAGGAGUUUAGAGCCAGCAGCAGCCAGUCUCAGCAGAUUAGCUGCAGGGGUAGGAUGGCCUGGGAGGGUAUGAGCCGUUGGGGAGCAGCUAACCUCGGGAACCUGGGAAGACUGUGUCUUAUGGCUCCUCAUGGGGUGGUGAGAUCAUGGUGCCAGUGCCAGCCAUAGCUGGACUUAGCGUGCAUGGUUUUUAAUAAUUACAUCCUACAAGACUCUACCUAAACUGAGGGUAUACUUAAGUAUGACUUGAUUCCAUCAGCUGACUUUCUGCCGCCACUUUGCUCAAGUCAUACUAAAGAAGUUAUAUUUUUAUUUAACAGGGAGUAUCUUGCAUUGGGAGUGGAAUUAAUCAUGGGUAGCAUAGAAUGCAAGUGGUUUAGGAGUUAGAAAAGAAUCAGGAAGCUCACAGAAAGCACAGAGAAAAGUGUCAGGAUUCAAGAACAGGCAAACCUUGGAAGUAUUAGACCUGGAAUAGACUUCAUGGUAUGCAUCAUGAGCCAAUGCUAAAAAUAACUUCAAUCAUGGUAUAUGAAUGACGGAAUUUUAUAUCUGGUAACUAAUAAUUAGAAUCUUAUAAAGCUGCAUCCUGUUUGUAUGUAACCAAUGUUUUAAAUUUUAUUUGUUAUAGUUUUUCUUUCUUUCUCUCUUUCUUUCUCUCUUUCUUUCUUUCUUUCUUUCUCUCUCUCUUUCUUUCUUUCUUUCAUUAUUAUUUUUAUUANNNNNNNNNNNNNNNNNNNNNNNNNNNNNNNNNNNNNNNNNNNNNNNNGUUUCCUGGGUACUCGCAGAGAGAAGGAAGCAUUGUUUGUCCUGCCGGUAUCCUUCUUCACAUCUGCUAGCCUGAGUUUGAGAGGGUGUGUGUGGGACAGUGCCAGAGACGUCCGCUGCAAUCUUCUUAGUCCCUCGGAGUGUCAGGGUCUGGUAAAAGAGACAGAUCGCCACCACCAAACCCACCAGGAAAGGUCGGGGGCAAAAUCGCCGGCGACAAAGGAACCCGGGUCGACAGACCAUGACCAGUCCAGGAUCACUUGGCCCCUGGCCACGUUGUCAGUGUGAAAAAAACACACAUCUGUCUUCUUUUUACACAAUUCCAAUCAAGUUCGCCCCAUCUCCGCUUGAAAACUUUCCGAAGGUUCAUGCCAAAGAUUCAUAGGACCCAGCGGUCAGAGGUGGUUAAUAGCCCUUAAAUGAAGGACAGUAAGAAGUGACUGGCCAGAUUUUUUUUUAAGAUGUCAAAAUAAAGAUAGUUAUAAGAAAUCAUCCGAAUGCAUCCCCAGCUACCAAGAGUUCCUUCCGGUAAUGCCUUACUUCCACAACAUUCUUAAAGUCAGGAGUUCAGCUUGUCUCCUCUUUUGGGGCAAAAAGAAAGCACCGUAAAGCGGGUCUGGAGGCAGAAACCAGCCGAAGACGCAGUCGAUUUAACGCGAAGUGCCUGUUGCACAGCUGGGCGCCGGCCAGGUUGUCCUAGCAGUUUCUCAUUUUCCCUCCGGUUUUAAAGCCAUCCCGCUCCCAGCCUUUUAUGUUGUAGAACUGCUGCUUCCUUUCGUUCAGUUUUAAAUUGCCACUUUGCUGCUAGCAUUCACGGCUUUUAACAUAAAAAAGGGGGAUAGCAGUUUGGCUGUAUGUGGUUACUGUCAGGGCUUUGCUUGCGUUUGGUCUCAUUCCGUUUCAAGUUCAAAGUUCUGUGUACUUACUCAGUUUUCAUCCUUUUAGCCAGAUUUUUUUUUUUUCAUGAUCCCCUAAUGGAUUGCUGAUCAAAAUCACUUGGAAGGAAACACCCAGGCGUAGGACUCCGCUUCAUCUCACUCUCACGCACGGACAGACACGCGCAGACUCGCGGAGACACGCGCGUGCCAGCUGCACACAGGGCCGAGAGCCGGAGGACCUGGGCCAUCGCUGCCACCCAGGCCGAGC